GCGGAGGCACUGUGAUUUCUC
rnacentral:snRNA from 1 species